rnacentral:rRNA from 1 species
UGGGGAAUUUUGGACAAUGGGCGAAAGCCUGAUCCAGCAAUGCCGCGUGUGUGAAGAAGGCCUUCGGGUUGUAAAGCACUUUUGUCCGGAAAGAAAUCCUUGGCUCUAAUACAGUCGGGGGAUGACGGUACCGGAAGAAUAAGCACCGGCUAACUACGUGCCAGCAGCCGCGGUAAUACGUAGGGUACAAGCGUUAAUCGGAAUUACUGGGCGUAAAGCGUGCGCAGGCGGUUUGCUAAGACCGAUGUGAAAUCCCCGGGCUCAACCUGGGAACUGCAUUGGUGACUGGCAGGCUAGAGUAUGGCAGAGGGGGGUAGAAUUCCACGUGUAGCAGUGAAAUGCGUAGAGAUGUGGAGGAAUACCGAUGGCGAAGGCAGCCCCCUGGGCCAAUACUGACGCUCAUGCACGAAAGCGUGGGGAGCAAACAGGAUUAGAUACCCUGGUAGUCCACGCCCUAAACGAUGUCAACUAGUUGUUGGGGAUUCAUUUCCUUAGUAACGUAGCUAACGCGUGAAGUUGACCGCCUGGGGAGUACGGUCGCAAGAUUAAAACUCAAAGGAAUUGACGGGGUCAUAGCUGUUUCCU